rnacentral:rRNA from 1 species
CCUACGGGGGGCUGCAGUGAGGAAUAUUGGUCAAUGGGCGAGAGCCUGAACCAGCCAAGUCGCGUGAGGGAGUACUGCCCUAUGGGUUGUAAACCUCUUUUGUCGGGGAGCAAAAGCCGGACGUUUCCGGCUGUGAGAGUACCCGAAGAAAAAGCAUCGGCUAACUCCGUGCCAGCAGCCGCGGUAAUACGGGGGAUGCGAGCGGUAUCCGGAUUUUUUGGGUUUAAAGGGUGCGCAGGCGGAUUUUUAAGUCAGCGGUCAAAUCUUGGGGCUCAACCCCAUCCAGCCGUUGAAACUGGGGAUCUAGAGUGUGCGAGAGGUAUGCGGAAUGCGUGGUGUAGCGGUGAAAUGCAUAGAUAUCACGCAGAACCCCGAUUGCGAAGGCAGCAUACCGGUGCACAACUGACGCUCAGGCACGAAAGCGUGGGUAUCGAACAGGAUUAGAUACCCUUGUAGUC